GAUUCAUUGAGGAACCAUAGUCUUUGCAGUUUGUGCAGGAGCUCCUUUCCUCAAAGAACCAACCGCUGCUCAAGAAAAUCCAGUAUACAUGAGUUCUCUUUAAAUCUCAACAGAGCAGCACUAUAGGUCUUUGGGAGGGACGCUAAAUUUGACAUCGUUCUCUCUUCUGACUGCUGUUAUCAAUAAAAGUUUUUAUUCUGCUAUUUGAGCAAAUGAGAAUGCAAAAAAAUAUAUGUGUGUUACUCUCCCAUUCACUGCUCUCAAAGUUUACCCAGCUUUAUGACAACUUCCUGCUGAAAAACCCGAAAAUGUGAAAAAAAAGUUUACAUACAGCUAUUUUGAGGCUUGUCAAUUUCUUAAAAUGUCUUGUGUGAAUUUUCCCAAUCAGUGACCUCCAUUUAGUACAGGAAAGAACUACAUAGCAUUUUAUUUAUAAACUUGAAUUGAAUUUAUUCGUUUUAAUUGUAUUUUUAGGUAGGCCUACAUGAAAUGUUUUUUAAAGUUCUAAGAUAUUUGAGUCACAUUUAUUUGUUUACAGUUUUGUCAAGGUGUAAAUGUUUAAUUAUUUGUUUGUAACAGUAUUAACACUAGUGUUUCCAUGAAUGGGAUUAUUUUUUUUUCAGUUUGUUUUUUUCAAAAUUAUUAAAAAUGUCAAUAGCAGGAAAAAUAAACUACAGGUUUGUAUACAUUAUAUUUUAGCUAUAAAAUCGUUGCUGUGCUGUAUAUAGUUUUAUGCAGAGCAACAUACAGGCGCGCAUUAUGAAUCACCUUUAAAGAGUGUCACGGUCUUUUCGCGUGAUGGAAAAGCCUGAUACUUUGCAUAACAUAAAAGAUUUUAAUCAUAAAGAUACAGAAUACAAAUACUUUGGAUGUUAAAAUAUUUCCUUAGAGCGUUUUACUGGUUGUUUUUGGGCAG
ensembl:lncRNA